rnacentral:lncRNA from 10 species
CCUGGAAUCAACAGAAGGGAGUGUCUAGGUUGAAAUAGGGGUUGUGGAGGCCAAGGUUUUUUUAUGCAGAUGAAGCCUCCAGGUAGCAGGCUUCAGAGAGAGUAGAUUGUAAAUGUUUCUUAUCAGACUUAAAAAGUUGUCAGACUCUUAGUUAAUUCUUUCCUGGAUCAGGAAAAAGACAUGGAAAGGGAAGGGGAUUCUCUACAGAAUGUAGAUUUCCUCACUAGAGACAGCUUUGCAGGGCCACUUCAAAAUAUGUCAAAGAAAUACAUUUGGGGGUAAAAUACUUUGAUUUAUUUUAUGGCCUGCUAUCUGUCAUGUUGGUGUCUUAUUGCUACAAAGAGUCUGCUCUGUCAAUCUGAAGGUCUUUGUGUUGAUGUUAAUGCUGGUCAGCUGUGCCUGAAUCCAAACAGAGGGGUGUAUAAUGAGGCACAUCCAACUCUCCUCCUUCCCCAUCAUGGCCUGAACUACUUUUUCAGGUUAAUUUCAGGUCCUUGGCCAAGAGGAGGGAUCCAUUUGUUACCCAUGAAAGAGAUCUGAGUUACCCUGAGUUACUGGCAGCAAAUUUAUACUGGUCCUGCUGGGAACAGGCCCCCCAAAACCUGGCCAUAAACUGGCCCCAAAAGUGGCCAUAAACAAAAUCUCUGCAGCACUGUGACAUGCUUUUGAUGGCCAUAACGCCCACACUGGAAGGUUGUGGGUUUACCGGAAUGAGGGCAAGGAACACCUGGCCCACCCAGGGUGGAAAACCAUUUAAAGGCCUUCUUAAACCACAAACAAUAGCAUGAGCAAUCUGUGCCUUAAGGGCAUGUUCCUGCUGCAGAUAACUAGCCAGACCUACCCCUUUAUUUCGGCCCAUCCCUUCAUUUCCCAUAAGGGAUACUUUUAGUUAAUAUAUCUAUAGAAACAAUGCUAAUGACUGGCUUGCUGCUAAUAAAUACGUGGGUAAAUCUGUGUUCGGGGCUCUCAGCUCUGAAGGCUGUGAGACCCCUGAUUUCCCACUUCACACCUCUAUAUUUGUGUGUGUGUGUGUGUUUAAUUCCUCCAGCGCCGCUGGGUUAGAGUCUCCCCGACUGAGCUGGUCACGGCAAGUGGCGUCCAUUGUGGGGGCUCAAAUCCAGGUUGAAGGGUUGCCAGAGUGACGGUUGGAGAACGUGGAGAACUAAGCUGGAGGACACCCGAGUACUCUUAAAGCAAUCCCCAUGGCCAAAAUCAACAGCCGAUUUGGAUACCAUCAAGACACCUGAAACCUUAUCAUGAGCCAGAUGCCAAGGAAGAGAUUCCAGGAGGAUCCCAAGGACCCCCUGUUGCAGCCGUGUUGAGGCUGAUGCUCAGGAGGACCCCAACUGUCACAAGCAACACCUGUUGAACACAACCACCCACCGGAGGACAGAUCAAGAAGCUGUCACAGAUGGCAGAAGAAAACCUAAGGAAAGCGAGACAGCCAGUCACAAUGAGUAAUUUAAUAGUAGCUACGAUAGUGAUGAUCACCAUUGCCGUGAGUAUUCCUUCAACAAGGGCUGACACAGAGAACAAUUAUACUUAUUGGGCAUAUUUAUCAAUCUUGGCUGGCAAUAAUGCCUGGAUGUAAUCACUCUAUGACACAGUUACACAUGCUUUCUGAUCUCAGUAUUUACCAUAAUAAAUCUGUUCCUAUAAUUGAGGCAUACAGCCCUCAAAAACCUAUUUGUAAACAAAAUUGAACCUGGCCAGAAAAUGAACGUACUUGUUUAGGAAGAUUGCAUUGCAGAACAGGCAGAGGUGCUGCACAACGAUUCCUAUGGAAUCAUUAUUAAUUGGUCCCCUAAGGGGAUAUUUAGCUUGAAUUGCACCUCUGAGUCUGCAUGCCAUGGCCACACUAUGUUCAGAUGGUCUGAACAAAACGGUCAGAUGGUAGAAAUGAUAAAAAGUAUGACAAGAGUUCCUAUUAUCUGGAACCAUGGCAGUAUAGUGGCACCUCAACCUCAAAUGAUAUGGCUUGUUGUAGGAGCUAACAUAAGAUUUUGUGGAAACUAUUAAUAGCUUUUAAUAAGAUCAAAAUUUGGGAAAGAAUAGAAAAGCAUCUAGAAGGUCUGCAGAUGCGGAUCCUGACUCCUAUGAGAAGUAGCUCACCGUGACAAAGGUGCCUUUGCUUUUAUCAAUUUGCAAAUCAAAAAAGGGGGACAUGUUGGGAACAGCCCCCCCACCCCAAAAAAAAACAUGGCCAUAAACUGGCCCCAAAACUGGCCAUAAACAAAAUCUCUGUGGCACUGUGAUGUGUUCAUGAUGGCCAUAACGCCCACACUGGAAGGUUGUGGGUUUACCAGAAUGAGGGCAAGGAACACCUGGCCUGCCCAGGGUGGAAAACUGCUUAAAGGCGUUCUUAAACCACAAACGAUAGCAUGAGCAAUCUGUGCCUUAAGGGCAUGUUCCUGCUACAGAUAACUAGCCAGACCCACCCCUUUAUUCUGGCCCAUCCCUUCGUUUCCCAUAAGGGAUACUUUUAGUUAAUCUAAUAUCUAUAGAAACAAUGCUAAUGACUGGCUUGCUGUUAAUAAAUACGUGGGUAAAUCUCUGUUCAGGGCUUUCAGCUCUCAAGGCUGUGAGACCCCUGAUUUCCCACUUCACACCUCUGUAUUUCUGUGUGUGUGUAAUUCCUCUAAUGCUGCUGGGUUAGGGUCUCCCCAACUGAGCUGGUCUUGGCAGGUCCUCAGCAACUUCAGUCCUUCCCUCCUCGGAAGAAAGAAUUCAACUGAGGGGCAUAGAGCAGAAAAAGAGACUGAGGCAAGUUCCAGAAAAGGAAUGGAAGUUUAUUUAAGAAGUCUUAGAACAGGAAUGAAAGGAAGGUGUGCUUGGAAGAGACCCGAGCAAGCACGUGAAGGCUAAAGAGAGAAGGUCAUGUUUGACCAUGAUCCUAGGACUUUUAUAAGCUCCCUUCUUUCCCAUGAUUCCUCCCUGAGGGUGGGUUUUCCUCAUGCCCAGUGCUUUCCUUACCUUUUAGAAUUGAGCAUGUGUGGUGUGUUUAGGGAGUUAUACACAGGCCCAUCUGAGGCUUUCUUCCUUUUUCCAGUGGAGUGUGCCCCCGGAAGAUCAUACUUCACCAUGUUUUGCCUCUUAACAUGCAUGCCCAGGAAGUUGCUUCUCCCUGGGGCCUGCAUUCAAUUAACAUUUUGCUGUUAACAGGUGUGGACUACCAGGAAAUGGCCUCUCCCUGGCGCUGUGAAAUUAGCAUUCUUAGAGAGGCAAUUCAGUAAUUGCCGAACCACCACCCAACAUUUUCAGUGGAUUAAGGGGGAGCCCUAUCCUACCCCGCUCAUGCCUAACUAUCUGUAACACAUUCAAUUGGUUGGGAGACUUAUAAUUUUAUUUUUGGCUUACAAUAAUCAUGAAAUAUUUAGAUAUAUGGUUUGUGGACCCUCACUUGUACUUUUGCCCUGGGCUCUAUAAAUUUUGAGCUGGGCCUGUCUGGUUUUCAUAGAGUUAUGGGUACAAGACACUAUUUUCUUCCUAACUCUAAUGCAUGAAAAAUAAACUGGCAAAGUAAAAUGACAAACAGCAACCAGCAGCUGGCCUCAGUCAAGGAGAAAGCACGGGGAAAAUGGGAGCAUUCUAGAAAAGGAGGCAACCAAGCAUUGCAGCCAAGCUCCAAAGGGCAGUCACCACACCAGCACACAGGAUCCACUUCUUGGGACCUUGGUAAGUGGGAGGCAGUGUGUACCAGUUCCUGUAGACUAGUUCAUGCCCCUCUGUCUCCCCCUUACACAGAGCACUUGCAAAUGCUAGUUCAGGAAUCCAGAGGCCUGGCUGGAGUCUAAGCAGUGAGUAGCUUGGCAAAGAGCUGCUAUGCUGAAACUGCAGUUUUCAGUGGAAACUAAAGAUAGGAUAGACAUAAGAUAUAUUGGUAAAUAAUAAAGUCUCAUACAAUGUUAGGAGCUAUUAGGAUUGAAUUGGGUCCCUGCAAAUUCAUAUGUUGAAUUGCUAGCCCCCAAUGUGACUCUAUGUGGAGAUAGGGCUUAUCAGGAGAUAGUAAAGAUUCAGUGAGGUUAUAAGGUGGGGCUCUAAUCCAGUAGGACUGGAGUCCUUAGAAGAGAUGGGAAAGAGAUAGGGGAGACCUCCCUCUGCACAAGUACACCAGCAAGAAGGUUACCAUCUGCAAGACAGGGAGAGAGGCCUCAUCAGACAGAAUCCUGUCGGCACCUUAACCUCAGACUUCCAGCCUCCAGAACUGUGAGAAAAUAAGUGUAUUGUUUAAG